rnacentral:rRNA from 1 species
CCUACGGGAGGCUGCAGUGAGGAAUAUUGGUCAAUGGACGAGAGUCUGAACCAGCCAAGUAGCGUGAAGGAUGACUGCCCUAUGGGUUGUAAACUUCUUUUAUAUGGGAAUAAAACAGGGUAUGCAUACCCUCUUGUAUGUACCAUAUGAAUAAGGAUCGGCUAACUCCGUGCCAGCAGCGGCGGUAAUACGGAGGAUCCGAGCGUUAUCCGGAUUUAUUGGGUUUAAAGGGAGCGUAGGUGGAUUGUUAAGUCAGUUGUGAAAGGUUGCGGCUCAACCGUAAAAUUGCAGUUGAAACUGGCAGACUUGAGUACAGUAGAGGUGAGCGGAAUUCGUGGUGUAGCGGUGAAAUGCGUAGAUAUCACGAAGAACUCCGAUGGCGAAGGCAGCUCACUGGACUGCAACUGACACUGAGGCUCGAAAGUGUGGGUAGCAAACAGGAUUAGAUACCCGAGUAGUC